rnacentral:rRNA from 1 species
AUGGAAGGGCUCCUACAUUGGGAUUUCAACCCUGGCCUUGCAGUGGUCGAGCAGGUACGUCGCCGGUUUGGAGAGACGGUGCAAUUCUCUUCUUCGGACAAGACCAAGGAAUUUUUCUUGGUUGUCUCCUUCUCCUCAGCUCCCUUCCCCCUGAAUGAAGAAUCUGUGGGUGUGGCUCUUCAGUGUUGCAUUGGUGGCCAUCAUCUUGGUUUUAAGGUUUCUAAGAUUUUUUAG